UUAAGUGACGAUAGCCUAGGAGAUACACCUGUACCCAUGCCGAACACAGCAGUUAAGCCCUAGAACGCCGGAAGUAGUUGGGG
rnacentral:rRNA from 1 species